UCGCCCCUGUUAGCUUUGCCCACUUGAGGUUUUAAGUAUCUUGAGUGGCCAUUAUUAGGGGCUAGAAUAUAAUCCUCUCUUAAACCUGGGUCAGGGGUCUCACCCCUUCCUCUGGACCUUUUGGGAGGAACAAGA
rnacentral:snoRNA from 1 species